rnacentral:rRNA from 1 species
UACGGAGGAUGCGAGCGUUAUCCGGAUUUAUUGGGUUUAAAGGGUGCGUAGGCGGGAUGCCGAGUCAGCGGUAAAAAUGCGGUGCUCAACGCCGUCGAGCCGUUGAAACUGGCGUUCUUGAGGGGGCGAGAAGUAUGCGGAAUGCGUGGUGUAGCGGUGAAAUGCAUAGAUAUCACGCAGAACUCCGAUUGCGAAGGCAGCAUACCGGCGCCCUACUGACGCUGAGGCACGAAAGCGUGGGUAUCGAACAGG